rnacentral:rRNA from 1 species
AUUGAACGCUGGCGGCAGGCUUAACACAUGCAAGUCGAGCGAGUGGCGGACGGGUGAGUAAUGUCUGGGAAACUGCCUGAUGGAGGGGGAUAACUACUGGAAACGGUAGCUAAUACCGCAUACCAUCGGAUGUGCCCAGAUGGGAUUAGCUAGUGGGUGGGGGAAAGGCUCACCUAGGCGACGAUCCCUAGCUGGUCUGAGAGGAUGACCAGCCACACGGGGACUGAGACACGGCCCAGACUCCUACGGGAGGCAGCAGUGGGGAAUAUUGCACAAUGGGCGCAAGCCUGAUACAGCCAUGCCGCGUGUAUGAAGAAGGCCUUCGGGUUGUAAAGUACUUUCAGCGGAGAGGCGUUACCUGCAGAAGAAGCACCGGCUAACUCCGUGCCAGCAGCCGCGGUAAUAC